rnacentral:rRNA from 1 species
UACGUAGGAGGCAAGCGUUGUCCGGAAUUACUGGGCGUAAAGCGCGUGUAGGCGGUCUGAAUAGUCUGCUGUGAAAGCGCCUGGCUUAACCGGGCGUGGUCGGCGGAAACUCUCAGACUGGAGGCCGGUAGAGGGGGGUGGAAUUCCCGGUGUAGUGGUGAAAUGCGUAGAGAUCGGGAGGAACACCUGUGGCGAAGGCGGCCUGCUGGGCCGCGGCUGACGCUGAGACGCGAAGGCUAGGGGAGCGAACGGG